CCUACGGGAGGCAGCAGUGGGGAAUAUUGGACAAUGGGGGCAACCCUGAUCCAGCAAUGCCGCGUGUGUGAUGAAGGCCUUAGGGUUGUAAAACACUUUCACUGGUGAAGAUGAUGACGGUAACCAGAGAAGAAGCCCCGGCUAACUUCGUGCCAGCAGCCGCGGUAAUACGAAGGGGGCGAGCGUUGUUCGGAAUUACUGGGCGUAAAAGGAGCGCAGGCGGUUCAUUCAGUUAGGCGUGAAAGCCCCGGGCUCACCUGGGAACUGCGCUUAAUACUGAUGAGCUAGAAAACAGGAGAGGGUAGUGGAAUUUCCAGUGUAGAGGUGAAAUUCGUAGAUAUUGGAAAGAACACCGGUGGCGAAAGCGGCUACCUGGCCUGAUUUUGACGCUGAGGCUCGAAAGCGUGGGGAGCAAACAGGAUUAGAUACCCUGGUAGUCCACGCCGUAAACGAUGAUAGCUAGAUGUCGGGGGGUUGCCUCUCGGUGUCGCCGCUAACGCAUUAAGCUGUCCGCCUGGGAAGUACGGUCGCAAGAUUAAAACUCAAAGGAAUUGACGG
rnacentral:rRNA from 1 species